CAGGAGAAGUCCACCUUCAGCGAUGCC
rnacentral:piRNA from 1 species